AAGUCGAGCGAAUGGAUUAAGAGCUUGCUCUUAUGAAGUUAGCGGCGGACGGGUGAGUAACACGUGGGUAACCUGCCCAUAAGACUGGGAUAACUCCGGGAAACCGGGGCUAAUACCGGAUAACAUUUUGAACCGCAUGGUUCGAAAUUGAAAGGCGGCUUCGGCUGUCACUUAUGGAUGGACCCGCGUCGCAUUAGCUAGUUGGUGAGGUAACGGCUCACCAAGGCAACGAUGCGUAGCCGACCUGAGAGGGUGAUCGGCCACACUGGGACCGAGACACGGCCCAGACUCCUACGGGAGGCAGCAGUAGGGAAUCUUCCGCAAUGGACGAAAGUCUGACGGAGCAACGCCGCGUGAGUGAUGAAGGCUUUCGGGUCGUAAAACUCUGUUGUUAGGGAAGAACAAGUGCUACUUGAAUAAGCUGGCACCUUGACGGUACCUAACCAGAAAGCCACGGCUAACUACGUGCCAGCAGCCGCGGUAAUACGUAGGUGGCAAGCGUUAUCCGGACUUAUUGGGCGUAAAGCGCGCGCAGGUGGUUUCUUAAGUCUUAUGUGAAAGCCCACGGCUCAACCGUGGAA
rnacentral:rRNA from 1 species